rnacentral:rRNA from 1 species
UGGGGAAUAUUGCACAAUGGGCGCAAGCCUGAUGCAGCCAUGCCGCGUGUAUGAAGAAGGCCUUCGGGUUGUAAAGUACUUUCAGUCGGGAGGAAGGUGGUAAGGUUAAUAACCUUAUCAAUUGACGUUACCGACAGAAGAAGCACCGGCUAACUCCGUGCCAGCAGCCGCGGUAAUACGGAGGGUGCAAGCGUUAAUCGGAAUUACUGGGCGUAAAGCGCACGCAGGCGGUUGAUUGAGUCAGAUGUGAAAUCCCCGGGCUUAACCCGGGAAUUGCAUCUGAUACUGGUCAGCUAGAGUCUUGUAGAGGGGGGUAGAAUUCCAUGUGUAGCGGUGAAAUGCGUAGAGACGUGGAGGAAUACCGGUGGCGAAGGCGGCCCCCUGGACAAAGACUGACGCUCAGGUGCGAAAGCGUGGGGAGCAAACAGG